rnacentral:lncRNA from 12 species
AAAGGAUACAUCCAAGACCUUCUCCGGUCCCAAAGUAGGGAUCUUAAGGUGAUGACUGAUGUGCUUGGAAACCCGGAGGAAGAACACAGAGCCGAAUUUUAUCACGAGCC